CUGAAAGACUCUUGAUAUCGUUUGUAAUAGCGGGAGUCAGUUUUAGUUGGUGUGACGUCUGCAGACGUCAGGCGGGGAGUAUUCUGUCCCUCGGGUUAUUUCGGAGGUAUGUUUCUUUUUUAUAAGUUUGUUAUAGGACGGGUCAUAAUCAUUCGUUCUGUAAUUAAUUGUAGCAACGGGUCAGUAAAUAUGUUUAUUCCGGAUCAUCUCUGGGAAAAGCUUGCCAUCUAGUGGUUUAACUAGGAAGCGUCGUGUAAGAGCUCAAGCAGGGGGUUUCCUCCCAGCGCGCGACAGGGAAGGUCCAUUUCUCCGUGUCUCUGUGGAUUCCUGCAUCUGUUGCUCUUAAAAAGGCAUAAUCUUUUUACAAAAAGAAAAAAGGAUCAGUAAAGCUCUGAAGAAUACGACACAGUCUCCCGAGUGUUCACUGAAGCCAUUUAAUGUUUAGCUCUCUGCAUAAGCCGGAUAGAGAAAUUCAGAUGAGGGCAGAAGAGU